UCUAGUCUUUUGUGGUGUACUACAGCGGCAGUAUAUAGAACCGCCACAAUAUAUGUUUUAGCAGCAUUAACUUAGAUAUAGCAGCACUCCAUAAACCUACCACAAUAAAUAUAGCAUUUUGCGGGGAUACUAUAGCGGCGGUAUGGAAAACUGCUACAAUAUGUAAGUUGUAGCAGCGUUGAGAUGACUGCUGCAAUAGGUACCUAUUUUGCGGUGCUUUUUCUUAGUUAUAGUGGCGGGUUAGACCGUCGCAAUAGACCUUUAAAUUUCCCUCUAUAGCCCCAAAAUUUCCCUCUAUUUUUUUGUGCCUUCCCAUUUAGGUUUUCACUUCUCUCUCUCUCUCUCUCUCAAAUCCUCCAUAACCAAGCUUCCGCAAGCUUCGUCUGCUGUCAUCAACUCCAUCUUCGCCGCCACCGCAGCCGCCUCGCAUCCUCGCCAUCACCACUCUCUUCAGGUCUGACCCCAACCCAGGCCUAGGCCUAGGCCCAGUCUUCCCACCGCCUCGCAUUCUCUCCCGCCGAUGGGUUGGGUAUCCAAUGGGUUCCACCUUCAGAUCCAUUCGGUUUUGAAAUUUGGUUCGCCAAAGAUCCCACUCGCUAGAGACUAACUCAUCUCGACCCACUCAUCUCAUCGGAGUUCCACUAUAAGUUUUUUUUUUUUUGGUUGAUUAAUGAGUGUCAUUGUUUUUAUUUUGUCUAUUUGCUUCUUCUUCAUCAAAUGGAUAUUAUGUGUAUUGGUAUUUGUGGGAAUUGUAUAUAUGUAGUGAGUUGGAUGGAGAGAUUUGUGAGAACUGUAGUUAUGCCAUAUACAUUGAAAAGGAUAUUAUGUGUUUUGGUGUUGCUAGGGAAGAGCAAUACACAGAAAAUUAUAAUGUGUAUAUAUAUAUAUAUAUAGGAGGACCUCAGAUAGCUCGUAGAGUUUGGAGAGACUAUGGCAAGGUAAAUUUCUCAAUCUAUUAAUUAUCUUUUGUGAGAAUAUUUAGUUAAUGACUUGUGCAAUAUAAUGAUAUUGUGAUUGUAAUUUGAAUUUCUUAUUUACUCUUGAGGAACUAAUCCUUGUAUAUAUCUUGAGAUUCUGGAUUGGGAAUUUCUGUUUGAUUGAAUAACAAAGUGGAAAAUGUUUCAAGUUAUGCUUGGCAUUGUGAGCUGAAAUUGUUUUUCUUGAGGCUAAUUGUAUGAUUGGACGGCUGCCUUGAGUAGGCAUUCUUUUUUGUCCCUGUAGGAAUUUCUAACAUGUUUUUCUUGAGACUGAAGAGGGACUCUUUUUUUCACUUGUGGUCUAAAAGUAGGUAAUCCGUGACUACUAUUGUUUGUUGUUAGGACUUAUAGGAUUAUAUAUUUUCUGAACAAAAGUAGAGGAAAACCACCUUAAAUUGGAGAUGAAAAUAUAUAUUGGCUCUUCAUUUCCAUUUGAUUUGAAUUAGCAAACUAGCUAGCUUGUGCUAAGAAAAGUUAACAAAUUAAAAGGUCCCUAUAGAAAAACAAAGUCUUGAUACUGAUUGGUUCUUUUCUCUAUGUUUUUGGUGAAAAUUUUCUAAUCAUGUUCAUGUUUCAUGUAUCAUUCUGUCUGGGAAUUCAACAAAUGUGAUUGGAAGCUUCAUUGUAUUUCUAUAAACAAUCAAUUUUCUGAAAUCAGCUUUUGAGUUGAAGAUUGCAAAAAGAAGAGGCAUUAUAAGUUCAUGUGACCAAAGUAAGUGAAGUUGGUGAAAGACUUAAGGUACUCUCUCUAGUGAUGAUGAGUGUAGUUAAUACUUUUGUUAUCACUCAUUAUAUUUUGCCUUAAUGAUUAGAGUUUCAGAACCUCUCUCUAGUUAGUUUCUUCUCCUUAAAAUUAUAUCUUAAUGUUUGUGUGUUUUUUCUUAAAGAAUUCAUUAUGUUCUAAUACAAUUAUUUGAGAUUUGGCUGUGUUAAGAUUGGACUAAUUGUUUGUAUUGUUGGUGCAUGUCAACUAUUAAUUGAUUGGCUUUCUACAACAUAUUGGAGUUCAUUAUGGUAUUAUUAGAAGUGGAAAGAAAGGUGAUUUAUCACGAAUUCUAGAUGAGCUUGAAUCUCACCUUCCCCAAGGGUAGAGGGAAGGUGAUCUUCAAGCUAAUGACCUCCCCUCAAGAAGUAUGGUACUACUUUUUGGUAAAGCAAGUUUAUGAUGUUAUUUUAACUUGAAUUAACUUUGUGCAUAUUUAAGCUCUCUUUUUCUUGCUGCAGGACCAUUGCCUAGUUGAUUUUUUUCAUGGAUGGCAGGAUGGAAGACUACCACAUAACUUGUAUAAUAAGGAUGUUCCUCCAGUCCAAUAAUCUCCAACUCUCCAAAAAUCAUCAGUUGCAUCCCAUCAACCAAGCAGCUUAUAAGUUUAAUGUUGGUGUUUGAUGACUUUUUGUGUACAAAGAACUACAUUUGAACAACUGCAUUUUUUGUAAAAGUUGAAGGAUAUUUUUAAACACUUUGAGACUUUGAUUAUGGUAUUAGCUUAAUUUAAGCAGUUGUUUUAUUCAAAGGACCACAUCUUUUUUUUGUUAAUCUUAUGAUGAUGGUUAUAGACAAUGUUAUGUAUUUGAUAAUAUAUUUCUAUGUUAAUAUAAUGUUAGU